rnacentral:rRNA from 1 species
CGUAGGGACCAAGCGUUGUUCGGAUUUACUGGGCGUAAAGGGCGCGUAGGCGGCGUGGUAAGUCACUUGUGAAAUCUCUGAGCUUAACUCAGAACGGCCAAGUGAUACUGCUGUGCUAGAGUGCAGAAGGGGCAAUCGGAAUUCUUGGUGUAGCGGUGAAAUGCGUAGAUAUCAAGAGGAACACCUGAGGUGAAGACGGGUUGCUGGGCUGACACUGACGCUGAUGCGCGAAAGCCAGGGGAGCAAACGGG